rnacentral:rRNA from 1 species
UACGUAGGGUGCAAGCGUUGUCCGGAAUUAUUGGGCGUAAAGCGCGUGUAGGCGGCUUUUCAAGUCGGGUGUGAAAUCCCUCGGCUCAACCGAGGAAGUGCGCCCGAAACUGCAGAGCUUGAGUACCGGAGAGGAUGGCGGAAUUCCCCAAGUAGAGGUGAAAUUCGUAGAUAUGGGGAGGAACACCGGUGGCGAAGGCGGCCAUCUGGACGGAUACUGACGCUGAGACGCGAAAGCGUGGGGAGCAAACAGG